rnacentral:lncRNA from 1 species
GGAGUGUCAUCUGAUGGAGAUUGUAAAAGGUUAGUGUAUCAUUUUAGCUGGUUUUAUGGUUUUGGUGACCCUGUCUUUGACUUGACAAAACAUUACACACAACUCUUGUAAAUGUACUGUCCUAACAUACUCUAAAUUUAUGCUUUCGCCGUAAAACCUUUUUGAAAUCGUAAAACGUGGUUAGAUUAAGGAGAUGUUUAUCUUUCAAAUGGUGUAACAUAGUUGUAUUUUUGAAAAAUUUGAAUUUUGACAUUUAUUUGGAUUCAAAUUUGCCGCUCUUGAAAUGCACCUGCUGUUGAUGGAGUGCACCACAGGUGGCACGCUAGCGUCCCACCUAGCCCCAAGAGGUUAAUGGUAAUAUUUUUUUUACCAUACUGUCUUUCAGGUAACUUCAGACAAGACAUGGAUGGGAAAAGUACAGACUGUAGCUAACAACUAUAUGCAGACCAGAAAUGGAAUCCUCUACACCAGAACAUGGCUUCCUGUAACUUCAGACCAGACAUGGAUGGGAAAAGUACAGACUGUAGCUAACAACUGUAACUUCAGACCAGACAUGGAUGGGAAAAGUACAGACUGUAGCUAACAACUGUAACUUCAGACCAGACAUGGAUGGGAAAAAUACAGACUGUAGCUAACAACUAAGUAUCUUCUAGGUUUGUGUAAGCCUGACAACCCCAUCGGAUCUGACUUAUUUUUUUGUCAUUAUUAUUAUACAUUUUUUACCCCCUUUUCGCCCCAAUUUCGUGAUAUCCAAUUACACUGCAAUUCCCUCGGGACAUGCGAAGGUCGAGUCAUGCGUCCUUCCCAAACCGCACUUCUUAACAUCCGCCUGCUUAACCCGUAUGCUAGCCGCACCAAUGUGUCGGAGGAAAUACCGUUCAACUGAUGACGUAGUCAGCCUGCAGGCACCAGGCCCACCACAAGGAGUUGCUAGAGCACGAUGAGCCAAGUAAAGCUCCCCCGGCCAAACCCUCCCCUAACCCGGACGAUAUUGGGCCCUUUGUGCACAGCCUUUUGGGACUCCCGGUCAUGGCCAGUUGUGACACAGUCUGGGAUCGAACCCCUGUCUGUAGUGACUCCUUAGGCUGCUGCGCCACUCAGGAGUCCCCAAUUUGCAGAUUUCUGAUGUCACAUGUUAACAUGCAAAAGGGUUUAUUGUUAAAUUAUUUUCCUGGUUGUCUUUCAGGGCACUGCUAGUCGUGACUAUAUCCUUCCAAAUUGUCUCGUUGACUAGCAACGCCUGAGCUUCAGAGGUUGGGGGACAGCAGACCAGAAAAGGACACAGUGUUACACUUGUAAGAAUGCAUUUUGUGAAGUUGUUGCAAGAUUGUAUUUAGGAUGACACUAUCCCGAACAUGAUUGACAACACUGUCAGACCUGACUUCUGAAAUGCAAUUUGCAACCAAAUGUGUUAACAGGAUUUUGGGGAGAAUAGCUUUAUAAAGGUUGUAACAAGGUGUUUUCUUUCAUUUUUUAAAUUCCUAGUGACUGUCUUCGCAAGGGUCAUUGUGAUCUUUAUCAUACAAUGGAGCUGGCCAUCACUAGCAAUGUGGAGAACGCAUUAUUGCCUUUUCAUUUACAAAGCUCUAAAUUAGAACUGUGCUAUCCUAGGACAAAGUUUGUUAUAUUGACUGUAUUGAUUUGUGCAGUAACUGGAUGUUUGAAUUUAAUAAAGAUCAUUUAAAUGCA